rnacentral:tRNA from 1 species
UGUAGUGUAGCUCAGUGGUACAGCCCUUGUCUAGCAUGCGAGAGGCCCGGGGUUCAAUCCCCAGUACUGGAA